UACAGGGGGGGCAAGCGUUGUUCGGAAUUACUGGGCGUAAAGGGCUCGUAGGCGGCCAACUAAGUCAGACGUGAAAUCCCCAGGCUCAACCUGGGAACUGCGUCUGAUACUGGAUGGCUUGAAUCCGGGAGAGGGAUGCAGAAUUCCAGGUGUAGCGGUGAAAUGCGUAGAUAUCUGGAGGAAUACCGGUGGCGAAGGCGGCAUCCUGGACCGGCAUUGACGCUGAUGAGCGAAAGCUAGGGGAGCAAACGGG
rnacentral:rRNA from 1 species